rnacentral:tRNA from 1 species
GGUGGCUCAGUGGUAGAGCACUUGCCUAGCAUGCAUGAAGCCCUGGGUUCGAUUCCUCAGCACCA